ACUCCUGCGGGAGGCAGCAGUGGGGAAUUUUGGACAAUGGGCGAAAGCCUGAUCCAGCAAUGCCGCGUGCAGGAUGAAGGCCUUCGGGUUGUAAACUGCUUUUGUACGGAACGAAAAAGCUCCUUCUAAUACAGGGGGCCCAUGACGGUACCGUAAGAAUAAGCACCGGCUAACUACGUGCCAGCAGCCGCGGUAAUACGUAGGGUGCGAGCGUUAAUCGGAAUUACUGGGCGUAAAGCGUGCGCAGGCGGUUAUGUAAGACAGAUGUGAAAUCCCCGGGCUCAACCUGGGAACUGCAUUUGUGACUGCAUGGCUAGAGUACGGUAGAGGGGGAUGGAAUUCCGCGUGUAGCAGUGAAAUGCGUAGAUAUGCGGAGGAACACCGAUGGCGAAGGCAAUCCCCUGGACCUGUACUGACGCUCAUGCACGAAAGCGUGGGGAGCAAACAGGAUUAGAAACCCCAGUAGUCCCA
rnacentral:rRNA from 1 species